rnacentral:rRNA from 1 species
AACUGAAACAUCUUAGUACCCGGAGGAAGAGAAAGAAAAAUCGAUUCCCUGAGUAGCGGCGAGCGAAACGGGAAGAGCCCAAACCAAUAAGCUUGCUUAUUGGGGUUGUAGGACACUCUGUACGGAGCUACAAAAGAAUCUGUUAGACGAAUAACCUGGAAAGGUUAAUCAUAGAAGGUAAUAAUCCUGUAGUCGAAAACAAAUUCUCUCUUGAGUGGAUCCUGAGUACGACGGAGCACGUGAAAUUCCGUCGGA